rnacentral:rRNA from 1 species
GACGAACGCUGGCGGCGCGCCUAACACAUGCAAGUCGAACGAGCGAGCGAGAGUUUGCUUGCUGAAGCGAGUUGCGAAAGGGUGAGUAACGCGUGAGGAACCUGCCUCAAAUGGGGGGACAACAGGUGGAAACGACGGCUAAUACGGCAAAAGCCCACUGGGCCGGAUGGGACAGGGGGAAGAGGGGAAAUCGGCUUUGAGAUGUCCUGGAUGCGGACUGGGUCUUUGGGGAGGUUACGGGCAACCCAGGCGACGAACGGUAGCCGGACUGAGAGGCUGAACGGCCACACUGGGACCGAGGCACGGCACAGACGCCUACGGGAGGCAGCAGUGGGGAAUAUUGCACAAUGGGGGAAACCCUGAUGAAGCGACGCCGCGUGGAGGAAGCAGGUCUCCGGAUUGUAAACUCCUGUUGUUGGGGAAGAUAAUGACGGUACCCAACAAAGAAGUGACGGCUAACUACGUG